rnacentral:rRNA from 1 species
GUCCCUAUCUACUAUCUAGCGAAACCACAGCCAAGGGAACGGGCUUGGAAUCAUUAGCGGGGAAAGAAGACCCUGUUGAGCUUGACUCUAGUUUGGCACUGUAAGAAGACAUAAGAGGUGUAGCAUAAGUGGGAGAUAGGCUUGCUUAUCAACAAUGAAAUACCACUACUUUUAUCGUUUUCUUACUUACUUGAUUAAAUGGAGAAUGCACUUUCAUUCAUACCAUAUUUGCAUUGUGACUCUGUCAUCUUUGCUCUUAUGGCUAUGAUGAUCUUGUGCACUUUUCUCGAUCCAAGUGUCAUGAACCGUUGGUACGUUUGUAUGAUCRAGGUGCUCACGCAUUGAGAUCAGAGUAUUAACAUUUUAUGGUUAAGACACGAUCCAAGUCAGGGACACUGCCAGGUGGGGAGUUUGACUGGGGCGGUACAUCUCUAAAACAAUA